CUUGAUUUUCUUCAAAGCGUGAAUCGAGGAUGGUUGUUUAUUUCACAGGGUAUUUCUGACGGCUCUGUUUCGUGCAUGCAUCUUCAGCGCUCGAUAAUGUUGCCGCACGUUCGAAAUCAUUUUGGAUACACUUACGGUGGUCACUCAGAAGUGCCAGCCAAUGUUCCAAACUUGUGCAGUGGCUUGCUGCUUCGACAAGUGCGGCACGUCGUUAAUUAUAUAAAUAUUCGGCGAUAUGUUUAUUUAGUUUUACCGAUCUGGGACAAAAUCGAUGUGUUUUUAAAAUAUAAAUAGUGUAAAUGUG